rnacentral:rRNA from 1 species
AACGCUAGCUACAGGCUUAACACAUGCAAGUCGAGGGGCAGCAUGAACUUAGCUUGCUAAGUUUGAUGGCGACCGGCGCACGGGUGAGUAACACGUAUCCAACCUGCCGAUGACUCGGGGAUAGCCUUUCGAAAGAAAGAUUAAUACCCGAUGGCAUAGUUCUUCCGCAUGGUAGAACUAUUAAAGAACUUCGGCCAUCGAUGGGGAUGCGUUCCAUUAGGUUGUUGGCGGGGUAACGGCCCACCAAGCCUUCGAUGGAUAGGGGUUCUGAGAGGAAGGCCCCCCACAUUGGAACUGAGACACGGUCCAAACUCCUACGGGAGGCAGCAGUGAGGAAUAUUGGUCAAUGGACGAGAGUCUGAACCAGCCAAGUAGCGUGCAGGAUGACGGCCCUAUGGGUUGUAAACUGCUUUUAUAAGGGAAUAAAGUGAGAGUCGUGACUCUUUUUGCAUGUACCUUAUGAAUAAGGACCGGCUAAUUCCGUGCCAGCAGCCGCGGUAAUACGGAAGGUCCGGGCGUUAUCCGGAUUUAUUGGGUUUAAAGGGAGCGUAGGCCGGAGAUUAAGCGUGUUGUGAAAUGUAGACGCUCAACGUCUGCACUGCAGCGCGAACUGGUUUCCUUGAGUACGCACAAAGUGGGCGGAAUUCGUGGUGUAGCGGUGAAAUGCUUAGAUAUCACGAAGAACUCCGAUUG